rnacentral:misc_RNA from 1 species
GCUCCGUAGGUGAACCUGCGGAGGGAUCAUUACAGAGUUCAUGCCCUACCGGGUAGAUCUCCCACCCUAUGUUAUUAUUACUUUGUUGCUUUGGCGGGCCGUUAGGCUCCGGCCCGACUACCGGCCCCGGCUGGUAAGCGCCCGCCAGAGGACCCAAAACCCUGAAUAUUAGUGUCGUCUGAGUACUAUAUAAUAGUUAAACCUUUCAACAACGGAUCUCUUGGUUCUG